GAACAAUAGCCUGUGGUCUUGUGUGAGAUGCACUUUAAGACUGACCCUUUUUUUGCCUGUCUUCAUACUGUUCUAUUUUUGAUGUGGCUUUUGACAGACGUUCCUUUCCCGGAAGAGAGUGUAAACAUGGGGGACCACGUGACAUCUAACGGACAGGGAUUUAAAGGCACAGGAAAGAGGAUAGUGCAUGAACACUUUGGUUUAAAAUAACAGGAGUAGCUGGAAUUUAUUGGAUAUCAUAAUUGUCAGUGUUAACAAACACAAAAAUAUGGUGUUUGUUUGCACCCCUUUUCCAAGGUACUGUAACAUGUUUCCAUGUUUCUGCAGGAGGUUGGAAAUUGUGGCUAACUGCACAACUAUAUUGGCGAAAUGAGCAGUACGGUAUGGACGUCGUAAACUGUUUAUUACAAUGUGAUACAUUUGCAAUGGCUUUGCGAAAAUGUUUAACCAAGAGAAGAGUGAAUCCACAUUAGGACCAUGUCUCAGAUCUCAGCUGAGGAGGAGUCUGAACUUCAGUCUGUUGAGGCAACUGCUAAAAAGCAUCAAGACAGAAUCUCAGGUGCAUCUACCAAUUUAACGUGCAGAGGAAUUAUUGCUUAAUCUGGAGGAGAUGGACAAGAACUUCCAUAAUUGUGAAUUUGUUAAGUACCUGCGGCAGUAUGUGGAAAGCUCUCUGAGAGCCGUUAUCGAGGAGGUGACAGAGAGAUGUAACAGGAGAGGGACAUGCUGUUGGGUCCGGUCAGGACACCUUGGUUCAUGCUGUUACAAGGAGGACUAGAGAAUCUGGAGAAUACAAGCAAAUAAUUAGAAACACUGAAGAACACGAUGAUGGUAGUUGUUGAACCAUUGAUGAAUACGUUUGAAGAGGACCAACUGAGAAGGAAGGAGAUGCACAGGGAGAGCCAACAUCCUCAGUUAAACAGCCAUUACACAGACAACUGCUCCGACAGUCAUUCUUCCUUCAAUCAGGUAGUACCAUGUUAAAGAAUUUGCCUAAAAGUCACUCUUGCAAAGUGAGGAUCCACCCAACGAUCCAUUGAAUGGCUUUUUAUACACUACCGGACCAGUAUCAUUAUACCGUAUAAACAUAUUUUGUUGAUCUGGAUAAGUAAUACUAAUAUACUUGUAAAUCAUUACAUUAUAGGCUUAAGUUGUUUGUGUUGCCUCUGUGUUGAGUUUGCAAUCAGUGUAAUUUAUGCUGUCUAAUUAUAACUCACGAGCACAAAAAAGUGAAUGUACAGUAAUUACACAUUAACUACAGUUGCAAAUGUUUCCUUAGGGUUAUGUAUUUAUCAAACAAUAGCAGCUGCAAGUACUUGCUGAAAGGUUGGACCCUAGUAGACCUAAAGAGUUAAAAUGAUUUCAAUAUGAUUUAUAUUCUGUAUAAUUUGCUAGAUUAUUACUAGAUUGGUAAAAGUGUUAUUAAUUGCAUCCAAUGUUGUGUGGUCUCUGAGAGUGACAGUGAUGUGGUGUGCAAGUGCACUGGGAGGCCAUGCAGGGUCUGUGUGGUGCAUAGACCUCGGAUGUGCUGAGCUGUGGGAGUUGGAGCAGCCUGCAUAGGAACCUCUCAGCUGCACUGGCUGACCCAGACCCUGACCUCAGUAUGAAACUAAUGAAUGAUUUUCAGAAGGAAGUGACAAUCUUUUGGAUUCGCCACCCACAAAAGUACAUGGAGGACAUAAUAGAGUACUUUCUCCCUCCUGUCCUUACACCCUGAACACGGGUUAGAGGCACAAGGGUCAGAGAAAGCCUUGCACCUCAUUGCCUUACUGGAUAUCAAAGCCACCUGGUUUAAUAGGUGGAUGCAUGGUUACUACAGCAGGACCGUGGUCUACAGGGUUCUGGAGAUGAAGUACAAGUCUCUGACGAACGCCAUUACAGAUGAAGACAUUACACUUGCUAUUCAUAGUUAUAUUCUGAGAUUUUGUAGCAGCUCUUCAGCAGUGUAUCUAUUGAGUCCUGUGACCCAUUCAUAGACGAGACGGGUGAGGUCAUCCACUCUAUCGAGAACCAGCACAUCAAUCCAGUCAGUCUGACAGACCUGGUUGUCAUUCUGAUUAGCAUCAUGUACCAACACCCCAAACCUCUGCACGGUGACUCGUUGCAUGCAGGCCAGAUUAAACUCUCCAGAAACUGCACUCAUAUAGCAGACACUCUCACAAGAAUUGCCACCACGGAAUGAGGAUUGUCGCUUUUCUUAUAUGAAAGAAAUCUAGUUUCUGCCGAGAGUGAAGGGUAAGUUAAAACUGAUUUGAUUCAGUACACAAGGUGCUUAUUUAUUAUUAUGAAUAUUACAUUUUCAGCAUACUAAGUAUACUAAGAAAGUAUGUAGAAGUUCUUUCUCGUGUACUUACCGAGCACAAAUAGGAAAUUGGCUUGUUUAAGGUCAACUGCAGCUGGGUUUUUUUAUAUCUCAAUACAAAAUCAUUUCUGGGUAACAAUUAAGUACCUUACUGUGAUUCUUAGCAAGAGCAAUUUCUCAAGCAAGUGUUUUGAUAGGACUGUCUGGGAGUGAGUGAGGAGUAGAAAACUGAAAUCUAGCUGUUAUUGAAAUGGAUCACUAGCCACUUUAAUAAUGUUCCGUAUCUAACAUUACUCAUCUCAUAUGUAUAAACCGCACUCCACACUAUUCUACGGUAUCUUAGUCACUUUUAAAUUGUGUUGACAUAUUGCAUCUCCCAUUUCAUAUGUAUAUACUGUAUUGUAUUCUAGACUACACCACUGACUGUUAAACAGACAUCUCCAGCACAUCAGAGGCUGCUGCCUAUAGACAGAUUAGGAAUCACUGGCCACUUUAAGGGAAUGGACACACUAGCCACUUUAAUAAUAUAUCUGUAUCUUGCAUUACUGUAUGUGUAAACUGUACUCUAUACUAUUCUAAGGUAUUCUAGGUAUCUUAGUCAUUUGAGUUGUUUGUAAAUAUUGCAUCACCCAUCUCAUAUGAAUAUACUGUAUUCUAUACUCUGCCACUGUAUCUUAUUCCAAUGCUGCUCUGAUAUAUAUGUAUAUAUAUUCUUAAUUCAUUCCUUAUUUAGAUUUCCAUGUAUUUUGUGUAUAUGUUGUGAAACUGUUAGAUAUUACUGCACUGUCGGAGCUAGAAGCACAAGCAUUUUGCUACACCCACAAUAACAUCUGCUAAACACGUGUAUGUCAACAAAUACAAUUUGAUUUGAUUUAUUGGCAGAGAGGUUUGGAACUCUUUCUUAUUGGUCUAUUGUGUAAUUUACAACCUGUUGAUGUCACCAGGCAGGCCAUACUCCAUCCUACCAUAACAGGCAGAUGAUGUCACUCCUACGCAAUGCUCGUCCCUUAACCGAUCUGUCUUGUAGGAUAUGGAACUCCUCUCUAAAAAUAAAGAUUUUGCUCAUCCAUUUAACACUAGUUCCUUGUUUAUUUAACCUUAAUUUAACUAGGCAAGUGUGAUACAGCCCGGGAUCGGACCCGGGCCUGUAGUGACUCCUCUAGCACUGAUGCAGUGCCUUAGAAUUUUGGGAUCCAAUCAGGAUCCAGUUCAGAAAAUCACCAAAACAUUUACAAAUGUUCUGAAAAUCUGUGAAAAUCCCUCCGCUCUCGGAAGCUAUGAUAUACUGGCUACUUGGAAAACCAUGUUCGAUCAGCUGAGCAAAUUUGCUCCAGCUAGCAGGCUAGUGCAAGCUUGUUUGAAUGGCCAUACGGUAGCUAGUUUGCCAGCUUGUCGAAGUGGUACAGCACCAAAAUUAUGGGACUGUUCUCAGAAAUCAGCAUGUAUUGUAUCUGACUGACUGGUAUUUUGUCCCAUUCCUC